rfam:Erwinia sp. EM595 isolate E_g_EM595 genome assembly, chromosome: 1
ACCUGAGAGGCCAUUUCACGUUCGGUCAAACCACCGCAAAUUUGAAUCAGGCGAUCGGAAAGUGUGGAUUUGCCGUGAUCGAUAUGGGCGAUGAUGGAAAAAUUUCUUAUAUGCUUCAUUUAUAUGAAUAUCUUCGCGUAUAAAAUCAGUUGAGCAUCUGAGCCAGACGCAUCUGCGGAGAAUGUAUAUCUCCCGCUAUCCUGUCAGCCUCGUUAAUGACGACGCAUAUUACACUGUUAGCGUCCGUCACGAAAGAAAGUAACUUGUCUGUGUACAAGAGAUUACGGCAGGUAAGAUGAAAAAAGGCUGUUCGACAGCCAGCCUGGCAAGGGAAUCGCUAAAGAUCACACUUUGCUUUCCACGCGCAGCGCAUCCGGCGGCAACGCUAUGGACAGAAUAACGGGUUGAAACGCCUCGCGGUGUCCCAACCGUAAUGACAACCCUUUGGCAACGAUAAAGCCCGCCACGCCGCCAAGCAGCGCACCGGUUGCGGCCGCCAGAUCGCUGCCAAACAGCAUCUGGAACAGGCCCGCCACGGCAAAAAGGCCGACCAGCGGCGUCAUAUAGACCAGCAGUGCCGAACUUAACAAACUGCUUUCCCGAAUGCCAAUCUCAAUCCGUUGGCCAGGUGAAAGUGGCUUUUCACUGUUAAUUUGCAUCACGUGCGCGUUUUUUGGCCCUAACUUAUUCAGCAUGGCGCUGCCGCAGCCUUUACGCGCUGAGCAGCUGUUGCAGGUUGUUUUAGCUUCGGUGUGCAGCGUGGCGAUGCCGUCAUGCCAGGCGACAACGGUGGCCCAUUCUCUCAUCAUUGUGGCGUACCUAAGUUGAUGCUGUCAGCAAUACGU